rnacentral:rRNA from 1 species
GAUGAACGCUGGCGGCGUGCUUAACACAUGCAAGUCGAACGGAAAGGCCCAAGCUUUCUUGGGUACUCGAGUGGCGAACGGGUGAGUAACACGUGGGUGAUCUGCCCUUCACUUCGGGAUAAGCCUGGGAAACUGGGUCUAAUACCGGAUAGGACGUUCUUUUGGAUGCCAGUGGGGGAAGAGUUUUCGGUGUGGGGUGAGCUCGCGGCCUAUCUGCUUGUGGGGGGGGUGAUGGGCUACCAAAGCGUCGUCGGGUAGCCGGCGUGUGAGGGGGUAAGGGGCCACUGGGAGUGAGAUACGGCGCAGACACCUACGGGAGGGAGAAGUGGGGAAUAUUGUACAAUGGGGGCAAGCCUGAUGCAGCGACGCGGCGUGGGCGAUGACGGCGUUCGCGUGGUGAACUCCUCUCGCUCGGGAGGAGGAGCUUUUGUGACGGUAACUGGAGAAGAAGCACCGGCUAACUACGUG